AUUGAACGCUGGCGGCAGGCCUAACACAUGCAAGUCGAGCGGAUGAAGGGAGCUUGCUCCCUGAUUUAGCGGCGGACGGGUGAGUAAUGCCUAGGAAUCUGCCUGGUAGUGGGGGACAACGUUUCGAAAGGAACGCUAAUACCGCAUACGUCCUAAGGGAGAAAGUGGGGGAUCUUCGGACCUCACGCUAUCAGAUGAGCCUAGGUCGGAUUAGCGAGUUGGUGAGGUAAGGGCUCACCAAGGCGACGAUCCGUAACUGGUUUGAGAGGAUGAUCAGUCACACUGGAACUGAGACACGGUCCAGACUCCUACGGGAGGCAGCAGUGGGGAAUAUUGGACAAUGGGCGGAAGCCUGAUCCAGCCACGCCGCGUGUGUGAAGAAGGUCUUCGGAUUGUAAAGCACUUUAAGUUGGGAGGAAGGGCAGUAAGUUAAUACCUUGCUGUUUUGACGUUACCAACAGAAUAAGCACCGGCUAACUUCGUGCCAGCCGCCGCAGUAAGAC
rnacentral:rRNA from 1 species